CAGGGGGCAAGUCUCAAGUUGGAAGGAAGGGGGUAAGAUGGAUUGCCUCUCAGUAUGCCUACUCCCCAGGAAAAGGAUACCCUACAAAGGCAGCCCAGCAUUACAGAUAGUCCUUUGGAACACCACUGAGAAAGAUACCAAAAGCCCACUGGACCAAAAUAAUAUUAAAGAUAGCCAAGGACAACAUCUCUGAAUGGGAGGCAAGAUUCCUCAGAAAGGUACACCGUGAUGAUUCUCUUUCAUUCCUGCACCUCAUCAUGAGGUAUGGAUGGACUGUUUACAUGGUUGAAGAGAAUUAUGAAUGGCAGUGGGAAGAGGCAUUAACUUCUGGUGACAUGAAUAUCAACUCAUAGGCAUCAUGACUUCACUAUUACCUCUGUGUUUCUGGCACAGCCCUGUGAAUAGUCAAUGAGCCAUGGUGACUCAAAUCAUUCCUAUCUAAUAGAAAGCUUGGUGAUGUUUUAGAAGCAACCUUAGUGUCCAGUUGACCCACUCAGUGAAGUACUGGAUCAGGCUGGGUUCAAAUGAGAGUGCCAUAUCCUAGGAGUCAAUAUUAGGCUUGGGGACAGAGCAUUGUUGUGCCAGAAAUUCAUGCUUGAAGAUUAGGAAAUGAUUCAGGAGUUAGGGAACCCAGCAGGAUCCAGGUACAUAGCCAAGAAGAUAGAAUCUGGUAGCAGAGAAGGGUGCAAAUUUCCCAAAGAAUGAUACUUCUUUUUCACUGCCUUGAUAAUUUCCAUUCCCACAUUCAUGAGAUGAAAGUUGCUAAGAUGCUUGAACAAGGAUUGUGAAAUUACAAUGAGAGGAUAUUUCCUUUGGUUUUUAAUUUUAUUAAAUGUUGUUAGCAAUGUGCUCUCUUGAACAAGAUUUAAAGCAUGCAUGAUCUGUCCUGAUGAACUGAGCAUGGUAAAAGGGUCAUGGAGUAACUCUGGCCUAAGUGAAUGCGUAUUAAGCUGCAGGUUCUUUGUAUUGUACACCUAGAGCCAAAUGAGUGACACUGUGAUACAGUGAUUAUAGCCUCAGAGGUUGAUUCCACAGUUUAUUUUUUUGAUGGUAUAGUAGUAACUUGGGUCCUC